GCAAAGUCGCUUUUAAAUUCUACUUGAAGCCUACAACAAUGGCGGAUUUCUGCAAAUCGUCCUUGUUCUAUUCUGAUCAACAACUCUGCUACGCAGAAAUACUUCCACCUUCAGUGGUACGAGCUAGAAUCAAAGUCGCAGUCCUCAAUUUUCUCAAGAUCUUGAAUUCUCCGAAUCCGGCCAUCACCGACCUUCCUCUGAUAAGUAGGACGUCAAAUAAUAGUCGAGUGAGCCGUGGAUUGAUGACGGAUGUUUCCUCAAUUUUUCUCUCACACUCUUUUUGCACGAGGUCUCUAAUGCGAGCCAAUGCCGCC